GAUAGUUCCUCGUUUCCUAGAAAACUUGAACCAUGGCUCCAAGACUUGUCCCUGCCAAGUGAGCAGGCAGCGCUGGAGAUGAGCAUGAUGACUCCCGCCAUUACCAGGGAGGUGUAGGCCACUGUGAUUUCAGAGAUUCACUAGCCGGCCUCGAAGGGGCGCGGGCCCGCUGCGCAAAGAGCGCAAAGCUCCCAGCGCUGCGCACCACGGCCGCAGCAAGGCGCCAGAAUGGGUUUUCCUGAUGCCCAGGAUUUGGGAACCGCGGGUUUGAGUUUCGGGGCGUCCCGCAGCCCCAGGGAAACGUCGUCGCGGCUUAUCGCGCCAACUUUGUGCAGCUUCGACCUGAGUAAAAAAAUCUCUUUUGCUGCUCAGGAGGCAGCUCCGCCGUGGUCUCCCUUGAGACAUCUUCCUCAGGUAGCCAGCAGGGCACCUUUUAUUUUCGGGAUUUUCCCCUGGGUUUGGGGCUUUUAUUUCCCAUAGAGACUUCAGCGAGACUUGUUUUUACAGAGGGACCCGUUGAUUCCGGGACUUGAGGGCUCGAGAUCGCACGGGUUUAAUCUUGGGGAUUCCGUUUGUGUGGGGGCGCAGGGCGGGGACGUCUUGGGGAAGGGGACACGCUGGACCCUGGGGCGAGCGGACGGGUCCUGGGAGCGCCCGGGGCUGGGGACGCCGCGCACCGGGCCAGGAGCAGAGAGGCGCCCGUGCCUGCCCCAGGGUGUGCCAGGAGCUAAGCUUUCAGCUUCAGACGCCAGUGUCGCUGAAACCAUAAUUCAGGUAUGUUAAAACUCAACAGCAUUAUUUUAAAUACUUUAUACCAAAACAAGAAUGUUGUGAUCUUACUUCCCUAGCUUUAAAGGAAGCAAACUCAGCAAUGCUUUCAAGAUCCCUACUUUGUUUUAUCUGGGAGAAGUGCCAUGUCUGACAUUUCCAGUGACUCAGUGACACUGAGAUAAUUUUAUUUAACUUUGGUUUACUGAAAGCCCUUCCUCAAGACCCCACCUUGACUUGUGUUGCUGAAAAGAGAAAUGAGCAGUGUUGCCUACAAAGAGUAGAGGAGCAGGUCAGAACUUUUUAUUUUCUAGGGUAAGAAUUUUAUAGCCUGAGUGGAGUUUGCCAUAAUUUGUUACACUGGCCCCUCUCCUUUGUAAGACCCUCAGGGUCAUCUUACAUUUCCUGCC
rnacentral:lncRNA from 1 species